GUUUCAAAUUGUUAUCUUUGCCAACAAAAUACAUUCAAAGCGUGUUUGUGGUAAGAGAGAAGACAUAGGCUGAUUUCUCGAGCCUACAAAUGGUGCACAGGGUGUCGAGUGAGCGUUCACAGAAAAACCCCGGAGAGUGCACAUGCCCCUUUGUUACGGGCCAGCAAGCAUCCCCGGUGCGUUCAUCGGUAAUGAUCCUUCCGCAGGUUCACCUACGGAAA
rnacentral:misc_RNA from 1 species